AUUGAACGCUGGCGGCAGGCUUAACACAUGCAAGUCGAGCGGGGGAAGGUAGCUUGCUACUGGACCUAGCGGCGGACGGGUGAGUAAUGCUUAGGAAUCUGCCUAUUAGUGGGGGACAACAUCUCGAAAGGGAUGCUAAUACCGCAUACGUCCUACGGGAGAAAGCAGGGGAUCACUUGUGACCUUGCGCUAAUAGAUGAGCCUAAGUCGGAUUAGCUAGUUGGUGGGGUAAAGGCCUACCAAGGCGACGAUCUGUAGCGGGUCUGAGAGGAUGAUCGGCCACACUGGGACUGAGACACGGCCCAGACUCCUACGGGAGGCAGCAGUGGGGAAUAUUGGACAAUGGGGGGAACCCUGAUCCAGCCAUGCCGCGUGUGUGAAGAAGGCCUUAUGGUUGUAAAGCACUUUAAGCGAGGAGGAGGCUCUUUUGGUUAAUACCCAAGAUGAGUGGACGUUACUCGCAGAAUAAGCACCGGCUAACUCUGUGCCAGCCGCCGCAGUAA
rnacentral:rRNA from 1 species